rfam:Myotis brandtii contig241230, whole genome shotgun sequence.
CAUGCACUCAGGGGGGUUCUCUCAGCCUGGAUUGUGAGAGGGCACAGGCCAGGCUGAGGGACCCCACCAGUGCAUG